rnacentral:lncRNA from 1 species
UUUUUUUUUGGUUGGUGGUCUUGGUUUUGGCUAAUUUUUUUAAAUCCUUGCCAGGGUAACUAGUGCCUGACUCCUGUGGAUAAGCCAGGAGCUGCAGGGUCAGGGCACACCUCGGGGUUGCUGCGCUGAGUGUCCAGUGUGGGGCCAGCGCUCAGCACACGCUCCAGCAGAGAUCCCUGUCCCAGUGCCCCUCUGUGACUGCUCUGAGCAGUGUGGCCAGGACUGGCACUGAUAGGUGUCACCACCCCAAACAACUCCACAGAGACUGGUAAGAACUGGGGCUUCUGAGCUGCUGGGGAACACCAGGAAUCUGCAGGAUUUAAGGCACAGAAGGUGGUGCAGGGGGGAGGCUGGGGGGCAAAGCUUUGGAACUGAUUAUUUAGUUCCAAAUUUGAGUAUCACUGGCUCCCCUGACCUGAUACUGUUUACGUCCUAAACUCUCAGCAGAGCUUCAUCUUGACAAAAUCUAUCCAAGACCCACAGAUUGCUUCCCUGGUACCACUGUCCAUGGUAAGUUGUGCAGAUGUUCACAUCUCUGAACAGAUGAAUGCCACUGGAUGACCCAGUCUGUGGAGGUGAGGGGAAUCCAAAACUUGUGCUUGCAGUGGGGUAGAAGGUGUAUCAAGGAAAGGGCCUAUCACAGAGAAGAUAUUUUGCAAGCUCCUGAAAUUCAGUGGCACUGUGUCUAAGGGACCAGGUAGUUCUGUAAGGCCAUUGUGAUGCUUUUUCUGUAUUGGUGUCAGAAAAGAAUUAGACAGUACCUCCCACACAUGCUGAGGGUGGAAAGCCUGAGGAUGGAGUGUCUCACACAGUUCCCCUUUACUGAACUCAGCCCCAGGCAAGACUCUCCAAGGGGGAUUGGUACCUGUGGUCAGUCGAGCAGAUCUGUCUCUCCUUGUAGUGACAGCAGAUGCCACACAGGAAUUUAGUGCAGACAUCAGCAAAGCCACAUUAUCACGCUGUGUGCUGCCACUCUCAGGGGCUCAGUGGGACAGAACCAGCUCAGGCACAGAGAACUCCAUUCCACUGCAGGGAAUGCUGCCCUGCAGGACAGAGAGGAAGGCGAGUCAGAAGCAUCAGCAGCUUUGAUCUCAUAACUCUCCCAUCAAUUAAUUAAUUCUGUAUUAUUAAUGUUACAGACGAUAUAACUCACAUCAGCAACUUCAUGGAAUAUUUCUUUUGACCUGUUAAGCAUCUUUAAAGGUAAGACACAUCUAAGUAAAUAUAAUAUACCAUGUACAUUUAAGUUGAUGGUAAGCUCCCCAAAUGUCAAUUUGAAUAACUGUGAUUAUCUUGCCUCAGUUACAGAUUCUGUCCAAUUUUUGACAUGGAUUGUCUAUUUGUUAUUUUAAAAUUUUACUAAAGAUACAUUUUUAGUUAAGUACUGCAAGUUUAAGUGGCUAUGUGGUAUCUAAAUUGCUGAAUGAAAUUAUUCUGCUAAUUUGAUUUAGUACCAACUAUCCCCUCUCCCCUGACAUGUUAAAAAAUUCCUUGCCUAACUUAAUGAUUGUGUUGAUGAUGAGGUGAGCUUGUAACUUUUUUGAUAGAGUUCAUCAUUUUAGGUUGUUUAUCUUUUCCAUGUAAGUAGGAAAAGCCUUGAGAGAUUAUUUGCCUCAUAGUAAUCUUGGAGAGCAGGUUAUAGUCCUGUCCUGCACAGUGCCAAGAGUGACCUGUGGCCCUGUGGCACUGCCACCACCCUCCCUGAGAGCAGGCACUGCUCCAGGCUGUUGGAUCAGGCACAACUCUGCUUUAACUGUAGCUGAGCUUCUUGAACUCUGAGGUGAGGUGGUAAAAUUGGUCACAGGACCAGAACACACUGGUACAAUUCUGAAAUGCUUUCCACUGACUGAGAGUGCUUUGUUUUCAGCUGGGUUUGGGUUUGUUUUUUUCUUUCCUUUCCACCUCACCAGCCACAUCCUUUAGGGUAGAUAAACUCUGAAGUGCUCAUAAGGAAAUGUGCUUUUUUAAAUUGUUAUUGUUCACUAAAACACAUAAAAAAAUGAAACAUUUACAAUAUUUAGACGCUAACAAGACAUUUCCUGUGUGCACCUGAGCAGCAACAGCCAAGGCCCCUGCCCCUACUGCAGCAUGGGAAGUCCAGGUUUGCUGCUCUGUACUUGAGGGAGGGCUUGGCAACUGCUUCCUGGAGGAUUGUGCCAGUGGGAAGCAGAUGCCAUCCUCCUCAGAGACAGCAAGAUGAGGAAGCACAGACCUGCUGGGCUCUCUCUUCCACCUUUGCAUUCCAUCUCUGCUCCUUGCCCUCCUCAUUCCACUUCCCAAGUCAGGAAUGAGUCAGUAAGGCCCUUGCACCUUAUGGUGGGACCAUAAACCCACUUUUCCAGCAGAGAAGGCUUGAAUGGCUGUGUUUGUUCGUAACACAAACAUAAAUGUACACAAAUGGGGACCAAAACCCGAUGGCUUUGCUAUUUCCCUGCAGCUGGGGGACUGGCCAUUCAGCACAGCCCUUGCUCCAGCACUGCCAGUUAACCUCGGGCAGAUCCAGUUCCAAUGCAGCCCAGCCCACAAGGAUCUCCUGUAAUCCACACCAUAGCCUGGUAUUCAUUUCCAACACUCCUCCAGAGCCCUGCUGAUCCCCACACUUCAGAAAGCACCUGGCAAAGCCGCCUCCCCAGCAGAGAGCAAACAGAACCUGGUGACAGGAGACACUGCUGGGAUUAAAUACCUGUGUGGGUAUGCCAGUGCAUUCCUGCUUCACACACUGCAAUUUAUGUUUGCAACUAGCACAAUGCAAAGUGCAGGUCAGACAUCACGUGGGCAGCAGAUAUUAGAUUUUUACUGAGCCUGUGAUGGGCACAGAGCUGUGUGAGUGAUGGCUGUGAGUGACUUAAAGAGCUGCCAUGACUGAGACUUUCCUUGCCAUUCAAAAGCUUUUUGGUUGCCCCACUUACAGAGUUUUAUCAGAUUUCUCAACCUAAAAGAAAAUCUGAUUGAUUUUAUCCAGGUCUGAAGUUAGCUCAGCUCCAAGCAGGGAGUGACACUUGUUGACUUUGCCAUGCAAAUUUUCCUGAGGCUCUUAAGUGGUGAUGAUUGUGGAAAGGAGAGGAAAAGGACCAACAGAAAUGCUGGUGUUUCCUGUGUGCCCAAAGCCCCCAGGGAAACAGGCAUGAGAGAAGACAAACAGGGAUCUAAAAGAAACCAUUCCUUUGUGCAUGGAAACGGCGUGGCAGCAGAGUUUGGGGAAGUCUGCAGUGAAAGGAGAACCCACCGGCUGUUUCCCAAUUAAAGCUUCUGGGCAAGCCCACCUGCUCCUGCUCUCAGAACAGGAAAGGAGAGAAGGCACCAAGUCCAGCCCUCCCGUGUUGCUGCAACAUGGCCCAGUAUUGAGCCACUCAGAUGCCAGCAGGUCUCCCUCUGCCAGGAACAGAGCAGUGACCUCCUCUGGGAAAAAACACUUAACUCAUCCCAUCUUUGCCCAGAGCCUUGGUGUUUGAGCAGCCAAACCCAACAAGCUCCAGAACUGCUGGUCCUGCCCAUGGUGUGGGAUGAAUUAUACCCACAGCCCCAAAUUCCCUGCUGAAUUCCUGCUGGAAUAACCCAACAGUGCCUUGUGGAGUCUGGACAUUCCCAUGCAGAGCUGCCGUGGAACAGCAGCUGUGGCAGGAACCAGCAGAGGUUCCAGGACAAGGACAGGUUUGUAUUCCAUAGAAUUUGCUGUUUAUAAACCUCAUCCCCCAGCCCCACUGAUGUCCCUGGGGGACACUUGACAGAGUUCCCUGGAAUUCAGCUGAUUUCAUCCCCCUGAGCUCGGGCUCCAGUUGAAAUUUUAAAGCAGGAGAAGGUGAUGGCUCCUGGCCCGUGCUGAGGCAGCCCCUGUGCCCAGGGGAGGACAUCUCUCCCUGCAGGAGCUGACUCCAUCUCAGAGCCUCAGGAGUGCCUCUGCAGGUUCUUUUCCCUCAGGAAAGGGAUGCACAUCCCUGCUUCCAGCACACCUCCAGUGGGACCCACCUGUGAGUUUUCCAUCAGUUCUGUGGUUCCAGCUGGCUCCCUGGAACACUCCAAACUUCAUCCAAACAAAACCUCACCUGACUCUAACCUUUUAUUUACAGGCCUCCCUGAGGGCAUUGCUUGGGGUUUCAUUUCUGGGGGGAAGAUCCCCCUGGCUUUAACGCUGCUGAGGGAUGAUGUCCCUGGCUGGGAGGGAAGGGGUUUGGGGGGCUGGGACACACCUGGGGGUGUGCAGGAGCUCCGGGAGGUCGGCACCGGGAAUUGCUGCCUGAGCCCCUCCUCAAACGCACCGCGCUGACAUUCCCAGGUAAAGCCAGAUGUUCCAGCUGUUCCUCGGUAAUUUGGGGCUGCGGGCGGGGUCUGUCCGGGCUGAAGCAGCUCCGGAGCCCGUCAGAGCAGCCCCUGGCCGAGGAGCCGCGGGCAGCCCUCGAUCCACGUCCAUCCCAGCGCUGCCCAUCCCCGGGAUGCGGGUGUGGCGGGACACUGAGGCACAGCUCCUCCCCUGCAAACACCGAGGGCAGGAGGUGCUGGGUCCCUUCCUGGGCUCCCGGCCUCCUCCUGCCCCGCAUUCCCAGCCAGCUGGGACCACUGAGGAAACACCAAGGAACAUUCCCACCUGGGAGUGGGAGUCACCAAGGGCUCCGUGCAGCUCCGGGCCAGGAAAGUGGCCCCAGCCCCAGCACCUGCAGGGAUUUUGGGCUGUGAACACUCACCUGCAGGGAUUUUGGGCUGUGAACACUCACCUGCAGGAAACGCCCCUCUGCAGGUGGGACCAGCCCUGACACUCUCCUGAAGAACUCUGGCCACGGACCAAGUGAACCCUCAGGGCUUGUCCUGCUCAUUUCUCCUUGGAAAGGGACAUGGAAUGAGCACCUUUACAGCUGGUGGUAAAUCCUGGAAAGAGCAGGAAACCAAGGUUAUUGAAGAGUCUGGUGCUGUCCUGUGAGACACCAGCCAGUCCUGCUCUAGAGCCAGUCUAGGGGCUGGUGUGCAGAGCAGGACUAGCAGGAAGGAAGGAGCCACAUUGACAUAGGAAUUCCCUUGCUGGCAGCAGCCACCUCAUCCCAGGCAGGACCUUCCUCAUGAGCCUGAGGUUGCUCAGGUGCUUGGAGCAGGGUGCUGACAAGGCCAAGAUGCUGAAUUCAGUCCCCACGUGGGCCAAUCGCUCAUCACCGUUUGACUCGAUGAUCCUCGGGGCCCUUUCCAACUCGGAACCUCCUGUGCUCUGAAAAUAA